UUCAAAAGUUAUAAAAUAUGUUCUUAAACAAUAAUAUUGCAAAGUAUUAAACAAUAUGAAAUUUGCUGCUGAAUCCAACUUAAUUUAAUCUUACUAAAUGGUGAAUGUAAAUUAAAUUUUUAUCAUAUGACAUUCACUGUAUAAUAUAUCAAGUUUUUGCAUUUUACAAAACACUGCAUAGUAUGUUUAUUUCAUGUGACAUGGUUUUCUAUGGUUCUGAUAAAUGAAGACAUACCAAGUUGUAGCACUGAUUUAUGAUUACUGUGUAUAACAGUAAUAUUUGUUUUAGAGGCUGUAUAACGAUGAUAUUGCAUAAAAAUUGAACAAGGAACUACAUGCAAUGUUUGUGCAAAAUAUAAAUCCAGUCACUUAAAAUUCCAUGAUCAGUGGGUAUAAAAAUUUUGAAACUGGAAGUGACAUGAUCAAAUUGCUCUUAAAAAUUGUACUACACACCAUAAUAAAGUUCCAAAUGAAUUUAUUUAUAAUUCCUUAAUAAGGAUGCUGAGAAAUGUGACAAAAAUGGUAUAUUAAUAGGGAAUUAAUUAUCAAUUUUCUAUGGGUCUUAGAAAGAAUGCUUUGUUUUAUCAGGGAUCAGGGAUUUCACGUACAAAAACAACUAUCAACCCUAAUCAAUAGUUAAAGACUUGGAUAGACAACUGAAAAGGAAAAGGAAAUACAUUUACACCAGAUGAAAAAAAUGUACCUUUACAAUAAACAUUUUACUACAACAAAUUAUACAGUUAACAAUCAUUGUAUUACAAUUCAAACACAUAAAUUAACAACAUGAACAAUAAAAUAAAGCACUGAUUUGUUGCAGGAAUAGCUGUUUCUAGUAAUAAGUUGUAACCUCAUUCCUGAAUCAUUUAAAAAUUGCAAAUAAAUGAAAAAGUCAAGGCUUAAUUAGUCAAUAUGUCUCAUGUUUUUUUUCUAACAAUCUAACUUGAAAGUGCUGGAGUAAAACAGAGAUGAAAGUAUGGUAUCCAUUAAGGAAAUCAAUAAUUCAUAUUUUAUACUCAUCACCAUAGGAUUGCUUUGAAGCAAAAUCGAACAAGCCAUUUGGAAGGGGGGUAACUCUAUCAAAACAUAAUUUCAAAAGUCAUAUUCACUUUUUAUGAAAUAAAAACUUAUACUGUCAAUUAAAUGAGGGAUUGUACAAAUGUAUAUCCCUUUUAUGCAUCAACUAAUGGAAAACUAUACCAAAUAUCACUUAUCAUGAUCAUGAUCUAUCCACGGAAAUUGUGACGGAACUUUAAAUUUUUAAUGUAACAUAAUCAUUGAGCUGUUUAUGCUUUUCUAGCCAAAAAUAAGAAAAGCUUUUAUAUAAUAUAUUAAAACAAAUAAAAAUUUCAAAAUCAUUAAAACAUAAACCGGAUAAGAAUCUUAUAAUGACCUUGAAACUACUGGUAAAAUAUGCAGAUGCCUAUGAAACAAAUGAACAGUACUGAGGGUUAAGAAUUUAAU
rnacentral:lncRNA from 1 species